CACGUAGGGUGCGAGCGUUGUCCGGAAUUAUUGGGCGUAAAGAGCUCGUAGGCGGUCUGUCGCGUCGAUCGUGAAAACUUGGGGCUUAACCCUGAGCUUGCGGUCGAUACGGGCAUGACUGGAGUUCGGCAGGGGAGACUGGAAUUCCUGGUGUAGCGGUGAAAUGCGCAGAUAUCUGGAGGAACACCGGUGGCGAAGGCGACAUCCUGGACCGGCAUUGACGCUGAGGCGCGAAAGCCAGGGGAGCAAACGGG
rnacentral:rRNA from 1 species